CAAUAGCGUAUAUUAAAGUUGUUGCAGUUAAAAAGCUCGUAGUUGGAUUUGUGGUUUGUCCCGCCUGCUGGACCUUUAUGGGUCUCUGCGGCGCGGGUCAUCCAUCCUUGGGUGGAAUCCGUGUGGCAUUAGGUUGUCGCGCGGGGGAUGCCCAUCUUUUACUGUGAAAAAAUUAGAGUGUUCAAAGCAGUCUUACGACGUUGAAUAUAUUAGCAUGGAAUAAUGAUAUAGGACCUUGGUACUAUUUUGUUGGUUUGCGCACUGAGGUAAUGAUUAACAGGGACAGUUGGGGGUAUUCGUAUUCCAUUGUAAGAGGUGAAAUUCUUGGAUUUUUGGAAGACGAACUACUGCGAAAGCAUUUACCAAGGAUGUUUUCAUUAA
rnacentral:rRNA from 1 species